UUCCCGGAGCCGCCGGAACGUCUCACAGGAGUACACAGUCGUUAGGGUUGGAAGGGGCCUUUGGAAAUCAUCCAGUCGAAUCCCACUGCCAAGGCAGGGUCAGCUGGAGCAGGUGACACAGGAGUGGAUCCCGGUGGGUUUUGAAUGUCUCCAGAGAGGGAUACUCCACGCCCUCCCUAAGCAGCCUGUUCCAGUGCUCUACCACUCUUAAUGUAAAGAAGUUUUUGCUCAUGUUGAGGUGAAACUUUUUGUGUUUUAGUUUAUGGCCAUUGCUCUUCGUUCUGGGCACCACCAAGAAGAGUCUGGCAUCAACCUCUUGGCACCUGCCUUUGAGAUAUUGAUCUGCAUUAAUGAGAUUCCCUCUAAGUCUUUUCUCUAGACUAAACAGGCCCAGCUCCCGUAGUCUCUCCUGAUAAGACAGAUGCUCCAGCCCCUUAAUCAUCCGUGUGGUCCUCCGCUGGACCCUCUCCAGCAGCCACUUGUCUUGUUCUGAGGAGCCCAGAACUGGACACAGCACUCCAGACGUGGCCUCACUCGGGCCGAGUAGAGGGACAGGAUCACCCUCUUCGACCUGCUCGCCACAUUUCCCCGCUCGCCACACUUCGGGCUCCCGCCACCUCCCGCCCUCCCUUCUCACAGGAGGGGUGUUCGCACCGGCCCGGCCGCUUCGGGGCGGGAUCCUCCCCAGCCAUAAAAGCUGGUCUUAAAGCUUUCUUUCGCUCUUUUCCGCGGUCCUGGCCGGGCGGGCGGGUCGGUGUCGGGCACGAAGGCGAGGGCGAGUCCGCGCAGUCGUGCCUGGGCGCUGCCGGGCUGCUGCCUCUCCCCGCUCACCGAGCACGUACAGGGCUCAGACAGCUUGUCGUGUGCCUUAAAAUGAUAUUUAUUUAUAAAUAACUUACUGCUAUUUGUUUUAUUGCCUGUUUUCUGAACGGCGUUGAGCGCCUGACAGCCACGGGCACGCCGCGACCUCGGCGGGCACCGCCACCACCAGCGCUGCCUUGGGGGGCUCAGCUUCUCGAGCGCGGGCGUUUCCAACGCCUGAAAUCUUUAGCCUCACUCUGGCCUUGCUAUCGGUGGGAUCCCGGGGUCGGAACGGCUCGUGCCAUGACCAAAAUCCCCACUUCCCUCCCGGACCAGGGGGUGCACGUGCCGAGACCGCCGCCCCGGCUCCGCCGCCGCUCCCGCGGCGCUCUGGCGCCAUCUGGCGGCUGCAGGAGGGGCCGAGCCGGGGCUGCGUUUCCGUAAUGACAGAAACUGAAGUGAAACUGAAUUAAACAAGGACAACAUCAAGGUUGGGAGGUGACAGAGAGGGAUUAUUUAUCCCCAGAUAGUCCGUUCCCCCUCCCCCCCCCCCUCCGUUGAGGAGUUAUGCUGCACGAGGAGCCCCUUGGCACAGCUGUCAGGAACUAAUAUCUUCCACUUCUGAAAGCCACCUGGGACAUCUCUACAAGGACCUCUUGAGAAGAAAACAGCUCCUUGGAUAGAAGCCAAGCAGGAUGAAGGAAGCUCUGCUAGAAAUCACCAAGGGCCUGUCUGGCUUCAAAUGGCUGCAGUGCAGCUUGUGCAAACCCUGCUGCCUCAGAUGUGGGGAGGGACAAAUGAUGACAUUUGGAGCAAAUUUUGGGAAGCUGAACAGCAACUGAGAAUGCCAUAUGGGAAUGGCUGCUCACCACAAUCACAUUGGAUCCCAUGACUAUCAAAUAGCAAAAAAAAAAUGUCCCCUGUCCAUUUUCACAUCACACCUCCAUUUCUGGCUGCCCACCUGCUUUAGCCACAGGAAAAAAAAUCCAUAAGAGAAGUGAAAUAUUUCCCUUUGCAGCCUCAGCACCAAUUAGGGUCUAUUGCACAGUCUUCCAGAUGUUUAUUGGUCCUAGAGCAAGACACUGCAAACACUCCAGUUGUUCAGAAUUUCUCUCUUUACUAUUUAGACCUUAUAUUCUACAACAAUUUCAUCUCCGUUUUGCUUUUGUAUUUUUUUCCUCUCAAAGUAGCUCACCUUGAAUUCCAAAAUCAUGCAAUCCCCAGGCGGAAGCAUCGCAACAGCCUCUUAGAUGGACACUGAUGCAAAAUGAUCAUUUGUCUCAUUCGUAAUUCUACUUCUUGUAAUAUGAGACAAGUCAAUUUUUUGGAGGCUUCAUGUUUCUGAUGUAGACAUAAAACCAACUGAGACUGUGUAACUGAAGCGUAACCUGUAAACUUUUCAGAGCCAAGACAUGGUCUGGUAUCUACACCCAAAACUCCAUGAGCUCUGAGACACCUGGAAGUCCAGACGCAGAAUAUUUAUAAUCCCUAAAAUGAUAAAGACCUUACAUAUUCUCCACCAAAAGCCUGAAAUUAAGAAUGAACAUAUUGUUCGUCCUUUGGAUAACAUUUGGAUAACUGACAAGGUAACAGAUCCUGAUAAUACCUGAGUUCAGAUCAGGGUGUUUCCAGGCAUGAUCAGUGGUGACCCAUCUGAACUCUGCAACACGACAAUACACCAAAGGAGAUGGAGUAAUUGAGAGAUUUGCUUUUGAUGUAUAACACUGUGAUAAAGCUUUUCUUUUUCAGUUCUGUGCAGAAUAUGUACUCCUAAUUGUUGCAUAUUUUGUUAAAACCUGCCAACUUGGUUUGAAUCCAGAGGGAAUUUUGCUUUUAGAAAGAGGCUUGUACAAAUGAAGUCACCAGAAUUAAUUUCUAGAAACAACCAAUAAGUUUCUGUUAGUUCUAGUAUAUCACACUGCAAUUUUGCCUUUGCUUCCUUUGGAAAUGAAGAAUAAAUGGUUCUUAAACAAGUAUCUUCAAACAAACUGAAACAUAUAAAGUAUUGUUAUGGGGAUACAACAACUAAAAUUCUAUAAAUGAGUUAUAUGCUGUGAAUGACUGCAGUCGUCCUUGUGUCUCCUUCUGAAAUACAUUAAAUCAAUUUUUGAGACUUCUGCAAUGUGCAAUGUAUUAAUUUUUAUUCCACAUGUGGUAAAUUUUUUAGAAAAAUCCAUUUUAUUUAGUUUUUCUAUAUAUUUCUGUUCAGAGGAUGAGUUUCUAAUUUUAAAAGAGCCAUAGUUGAUAUAUUUAGUAGAUUGGCAGCUGGCAUAAACUUUUAACAAAAUUGUGUUGAGUAAUGGUGACACUCAGGUUGCAAAUACCAUACAGUGACUAAAAGGAACUAAAACACUGAACACUAAAACUAUGAUGCAUUCUUUAAAAGACAAUGUUUAUCUAAACACUUACACAAACAGCUCUUUCAAAUUGAAGAUAUUAAAAAUGAGAAAUUCCUUUAAGACUGUUUUAUAAAGCAUUUUAGUUAAGACAAAUAACAAUAAACUAUAAAUUAAACACAGGCUUCUUCAAACCUGAUGGACAAGUCCUCCCUGGCCUUCAAAGAAGUUCCUUCCUGGAUGCACUUUCUGGGUAACUUCUGAAAAUGAUUCAUAACUUUUUUAAUUCCUAAUCAAUCUUUUAAUUUCUUUUUUUUUUUACUACAGACAUGAAAUUAAUUUAAAAAAACAAGCAUAUCUCUUUUCUUUUUCCUCUGAACUUUACACCAAAGCUUUUGCUAAAAAAUAAAACUUGAAAUCCCAUUUUUAGUAACUGCUGAAAGCAGAUACUGCUCAUUGCACAAACCUAGAUACAAACGAGCACUGAGGAAUUAAACUUCUAGAUACACUAAAGCUAAAUGAGUUGAUUUUUCCAAAAGAAAACCAAACAGCUUGUAAGCAGCAAGUAAUUAGUAAACGAAGGAAACCACAAAAGGAAUAACAAACAUCAUAAACCUAUUAACUUCACACAGACUAAAAUAUUAAAGAAUAAUCUCCAUUCCAAAGUAAUAACGAUUUGCCAAAAUAUUAACAGCAACAAAUAAAAGGCAGCCUUGCAUUAAAGUCCGAGCUGGCACAAAGCACACUUUGGGUGAACACACACACACACUGCUGUGAAGUUCUUUCUCAAUUAUGUCAUAUUUUUGAUUAUUUGGUGAUGCACAGCUGGCUGUGGUGCUGUGGUGCCAGUGCCCCUGCCCCACCUUUGCUCCCAUUAGCUACCUCUUAGUCUUAGCUCCCAUCACCAGCAGCAACAAGCAACUUCCAAACACACAAGGUAAACCAGCCAUCUGAUAUCUUGCUGCCCACAGAGCACUGCAUGAGUUCAGUUUGAGAGGAGGAGGCUGAUGCGUAGCAGUAGCAUUUGGAUUGUUUCCAAAUUGUUUACUUGAUUUGGAUUGUUUCCUGGGGGAAAAGAGAUCCUUGGUCGUUACUGGUGCCUGAUCGUCUAGCCAGUCUCAGUAUUCCCCCACAGGUGUGCUCUUGUUCUCGGUCCAUGUCCAAAGAUGACAGGAAUACAACCGUUUUCCCUUUAACACUAUUUAAAUUAAAGCUCCAAGCUGAGCCCAUGGACGGAAGAGGUGCUUUGCUGGCUUGCUCUGUUCCUUAGGAAACCACCACACCAAGGCUCAGGCAGUAGGGCUUCUCCUCAGCACAAAGCUGCCUGACAGCUACCAACACACCAAACACAUUCUCUGUAAUCUCAGUACACCUUAGGUGGGACCUUUAUGGCUUCCCAGUGCAUCCUCUCCUGUCCCUCCUCUGAGUGAAAGCUGCUCUGAUGUCUUAUCUAUCAUGGAAGUUUCCCCUCUUUUCAAGACUCACCCCACCAAAACCCAAAGAAAUGACAACAAACCACCUCCUGUUGAGCUUAUUUACAACUUUAAGAACAACAUAUGCAAAAAAGGAAUGGAUACUUCCUCACUGACUGGUGAGAUUUCUUGGUUGUUUUUCUUGAGACAUUUCCCUAGUCUACUUUUUGAGUCUAUUAUCUCUGUUAUCACAAACCUGUCUUGAAGGGUUAAGCUCUCAUCCCAGCCAAGACAAGUCAGACAACUGAGAGGGGGAAAGAGGAAGAACCUUUGUAGAUAAGUCUAUCUCCUAUACACAGUAGCCAACCAGGAAGAGUGAUUUGGACCUGGGACUAUCGGCCCCUGAGAUUGUAGAAAAAACAAAACACGUAACAUGCACACCUGUGCACAUUACAUUAUAGCUAAAAAAUGUUCAUCUGUAAUUGUUAAAUGUUAGUUUUGAUUUGUUCCUUGUUUUACUGUUUAAGAUCUUGGGUCUAACUUUGCAUUUGGAGUAAUAAACACUUGUAUUUACUUUUUCAUUGGACUCAUUAUCCCAACACUUGUUUAUUAUAACCUUGAAUUCCCAAGAUACUGCAGCAUUCUCUGUCACCACCUUUAGUAAGAUAAAGCAACUAUUUGUUACACAUUCUUCUUCCACAAUAUAAUUAGAGCAAAAUAGUUAUGAGUCAAAUUGUAGCUACCACUGUUUGUGACAGAAUGAGGAUUUCUGCUCGUCAUUUAUAGUAUUUGUUGAAGAGGCCUGAGAGAGUCGAUGCACAUUCAUCGAUCAACAUGCAACUUUUAAAGCCUGCAUCAACAGUCUUGUAUUUCCAGUUUAAUCAUCAUGAUUAAUCAUCAUGAAGGUAGACAAACCAGACAUCCACACAGGAUCUGGUGGAAUCAGGCACCAGGAACCUGCACAUGAGCAGAUCAACAAUAAUGAGAGAAUGAACCAUGUGAAGUUUGCUUUUUGAUACAGGAUAACUUGAAUUCAAAUGUAUUGUGCUAGUGAUUUUGCCUUUUGGACCUCUGCCCUUGCCAGAGAAGAACUGCUAGUGGCUAACUGAGAUGACGUCCACUCCUUCAACAGGAGAUGAUACUGCUGGGGGCCUGGGGCCACUAUCAAAUCCUGUGUCUUCUGUGCUCUACAGUGCAGGGUCAGACUCCACAGAGCAGUAAAUGACAUUAUUCCCUAGAACAGGAGUGCUUCUGUAUGGAGGUCAAAAGUGAUAAUAUUUCUGUAAACCAAACUGAUUGCACUGGAACUGGAUGAUAAAAUUAUUGCUUUAGAGUCUGGGUUAAUUAAACUUUAACUAUGGUUAAAAAAAGAGUAUUUUUGAUUCAGUUAUUAAGUAAACAGGACAGACAAACUCCCCUAAAUAACAACACUUAUAACAAAAGAACAA